rnacentral:rRNA from 1 species
CGCUGGCGGCGUGCUUAACACAUGCAAGUCGAACGAUGAACCAGGGCUUGCCCUGGGGAUUAGUGGCGAACGGGUGAGUAACACGUGGGCAACCUGCCCCAGACACCGGGAUAACCUCUCGAAAGAGUGGCUAAUACCGGAUAUGACCACUUCGGGCAUCCGACGGUGGUGGAAAGGAUUCUGGUCUGGGAUGGGCCCGCGGCCUAUCAGCUAGUUGGUGGGGUAAUGGCCUACCAAGGCGACGACGGGUAGCCGGCCUGAGAGGGCGACCGGCCACACUGGGACUGAGACACGGCCCAGACUCCUACGGGAGGCAGCAGUGGGGAAUAUUGCGCAAUGGGCGAAAGCCUGACGCAGCGACGCCGCGUGAGGGACGAAGGUCUUCGGAUUGUAAACCUCUUUCAGCAGGGACGAAGCGAAAGUGACUGUACCUGCAGAAGAAGCACCGGCUAACUACGUG